AUUGAACGCUGGCGGCGUGCCUAACACAUGCAAGUCGAGCGGUAACAGGUGUAGCAAUACAUGCUGACGAGCGGCGGACGGGUGAGUAACGCUUGGGAAUCUGCCUAUUAGUGGGGGACAACCCGGGGAAACUCGGGCUAAUACCGCAUACGCACUACGGUGGAAAGCCGGGGACCGCAAGGCCUGGCGCUAACAGAUGAGCCCAAGUCGGAUUAGCUAGUUGGUAGGGUAACGGCCUACCAAGGCGACGAUCCGUAACUGGUCUGAGAGGACGACCAGUCACACCGGAACUGAGACACGGUCCGGACUCCUACGGGAGGCAGCAGUGGGGAAUAUUGGACAAUGGCGAAAGCCUGAUCCAGCGACGCCGCGUGGGUGAAGAAGGCCUGCGGGUUGUAAAGCCCUUUCAGUGGGGAAGAAAAGCCUCGAGCUAACACCUCGGGGUCUUGACGUAACCCAUAGAAGAAGCACCGGCUAACUCUGUGCCAGCCGCCGCAGUAAG
rnacentral:rRNA from 1 species